GUGCUUGCUUCAGCGGCACACAUACUACAAUUGGAACAAUACAGAGAUUAGCAUGGCCCCUGUGCAAGGAUGACAUGCAAAUUCAUGAAGCAUUCCAUAUACAU
rnacentral:snRNA from 1 species